GCGCGGGUGGCGGAAUUGGCAGACGCACUGGAUUUAGGUUCCAGCGCCGCAAGGUUUGCGGGUUCGACUCCCGCCCCGCGCACCA
rnacentral:tRNA from 1 species